rnacentral:rRNA from 1 species
CCAGCAGCUGCGGUAAUUCCAGCUCUAAUAGCGUAUAUUAAAGUUGUUGCAGUUAAAAAGCUCGUAGUCGGAAUUCGGGUUCGGGCAGGCUUCUGACCUCUGGGAAGAUGGCAGGCUCGGAUCUUUCUGCCUUGUUUCUAUUUCGCACUUAACUGUUCGGAGUAGGGAUUAGGCCGUUUACCUUGAAAAAAUCAGAUCGUUCAAAGAAGGCUAAGCUCGAAUAUGUUAGCAUGGAAUAAUGGAAUAGGACUUGGGUUCUAUUUUGUUGGUCAAUGGAUCCUAAGUAAUGAUUAAUAGGGACAGUUGGGGCCGUUUAUAUUUCGUUGUCAGAGGUGAAAUUCUUGGAUUUACGAAAGAUAAACUUCUGCGAAAGCAUUCGGCAAGGAUGUUUUCAUCGAUCAAGAACGAAAGU